UCAAUUUUUGCGGUAGGAACAAUGUUUUUUAUAUCAUACCGUACCGGCCCCAAAUUCUGGGUGUACCGGCCGGUACGAAAUUCUACAGCCUGUUUGCUGUUUGAAACUUUGGAUGGCAGUUUCAAAUUUCAGUAAACACUUAGGAGCUAUUUCAGAAUUCGGACUUUCACAUAACUUAGGGUUUGGAGUCUUUUGACUUUUUUUUUUUUUUUGCCCAAAUCAAUUUCUCAUUUCAGCCUUCAGGGUCAUCUAACUCUAGUCUCUCAAGUUCUCAGCUCUUCUCUCAAGCCCUUCGAUUUCCAAUUCAUAUCGAUUUCAAGCAGCUUCUCUAAAACUAUAUUCGUCGCACAAAGGAACAUAAAAAAUGGAAGAGAUGCUUUAGAUCCAAUCAAUCUUGAAAACAUUGAUUUGAUGGAAAAAUGAGUGGGUGAAGAAUCUGAGCUUCUUAAUGAAGAAGAUUUGGAUUGGGCAAGUAUUGAAGAGCUAUUAGCCUCACUAAAUGAGGAAGACGAUGAUAAUGUUGAUGUUGAAGUUAAUGACAGUAAUGACGUUGAUGAAAAUAUUUUGAUUAACAUGUCAAAUCCUGAUCCUUAUUAUCUUUUUGACGAGGAUGAGUGAUGUUUUAUGACGGUGGUGACGUUAAUGAUUUUAUCAAGAUAAUGUUGGUGUUUAUGUUAGUUGUAACUUAAAACUUAAGACUUGUAUUGAGAAGUAUUGAGUUUAUGACGUA